rnacentral:lncRNA from 1 species
CAUUGGCUGGUGCUCCGGUAGAAUUCUUCAUGGCAUGAGGUGGCAGUGGCUAUGGGGUCAAGCUCCUCUGCCUUUGGAAAGGGAAGAAGAGUGGGAAGGACUGCGUCUUAUGGUUUCAGUGCCAACUUAGCCACAAUACCAUAGAACACCAGGUAGGCUUCUAAGGUUUUUGAUACUCCCAAAGGUAAACAAUACAGAAAGAAUCCUUUAAAUGCAGCAAGACAGAGGAAACAACGUACAAGGGAGCUCUGGCUGUUCCGCUAUGGAGUAGCCAUUCUUUUAUUUCUUUACUUUCUUAAUAAACUUGCUUUCACUUUAUGGAUUCACCUCAAAAUCUUUCUUGUGCAAGCUCCAAGAACCUUCUCUUGGGGUCUGGAUCGGGACCCCUUUCUAGUAACAUCUUCCUGGCGAACCAUGAAGGGAUGAUACUGAGGAGACCCCCGACCCAAAGGAAAUAGACUGCAGCAACAAUUGACUGACUUUGGGUAAGUGGUGGGGUAUCCAGUAAAGGAUGGGAUUGAGUUAGAGGCCCAAUUUAGGGGAGUUAGAGCCUCUCCUAGAAACAGAGAGGGUUAAAGCACUUUCUCUAGAGACAGAGAGGGUUAAAGGCCCCUCUUAAAAGGCAAUGACACUUGACCAAACUUGGGUUUGAGGCCCAACUUAGGAAGGUUACAGACCUUCCUAAGAUUUAGGGGGUUAGAGGAUCCUCUCAAUAAAGUCCCUGUCGGCUAAAAAAUUGAUUUGACACCAUGGGAUGUUAACUGUUACUCUCUUUGGAUUAAUCUGCCUUGCACUCUGCUGAUGGCUGUGACAGGAUUAGGCAGGUACAGGAUCAUGGGAUAAGGGGAGCUUUUUUUUCCCUAAAGGGGAAAACUUGAGAGCUAAUGGGAAUGCUGCAGAAGAUCCUUUGUGACCAACAAACAGCUGCCUGAACUUUUGAUUAAAUGUCACUGCAAUGGGUGGGUCUUUCUCUAGCCUCCCUGAGCUCUUCGACUUCCCCACCUUGCAGCAAGCAAUGCUUUUCUCUCUCUCUCUUCUUUCCCUUUAUUAUUUUUUCUGUUACUUGGGGUGACCAUCUUGCCCAGAGAACCACAUGUUGAAACUAUUUUAAUCCACUUUGAAUGGAUUAAAGGUGACAGAGCCCAUCAGGGGGCAAGUUUGAGCUUUGCCAGCUCAAUAUUUGUAUGGUUUGUCAUAUGUAUUUUUCUCUGGCUGAAUGGAAAAUAUUAAUUCAGGUCCCCCAUGCAACCAGUUGGGUGGCCACUUGCAAAAUUGAGAGGCUUUUGCCUGUGGUUCCAUGAAACAGAAAAAAAAAAUUCUUUUGUGUUGUGGCUUGGCCCCAAGGGCUUUGAGGUAGCAAGCAAGGUUACUAGGGCUGCUCAGGGAAAGAGAACCCAGAAACCUGACAUGUUAGCAAAAGGGUAAGGAUUUCUUACUGAUCAGACUUCUGUCCUCUUUCUUUAUGCAAACUGGUUGAAUGAAUGGUAAAAAUCACUGUUUAUCUCAUCUGUAAAGUUUUGAUUAAUAGGAAAAACAAUUUGUGAGGCUAGUCUUAAGCUGUAGCAAAUCUGGUGUGCUUUGUGUGUCUUUCUGUAUCAUUCUGUCAUAAAGAGGAAUACCUUAGGAUAGAACAUGGGCUUAGGAUCUCAGUUACAAACUGCUGCAGGUCUCUGAAACAACAAAAAAACUGGAUGAAGUUUCCUUCUCAUCUUGUUUCAUAUCCUUGGGAGCUUGACCUUGUAACCAUGUGGCGGUACUCUCUUGGUCUCUGCUAUCCAGGGAACAGAAGUUUGAGGGCUCAUGUCAUAGUUAGCCCUAAAAAUUAUAUUGAGCAGUUAAAAGCCUAUGCAAGCUCAAAACUGACUGCUCUAGGCUCCUUCUGGGAAGAGCAAUAGAACUGUCCAGUGCUGUAGCUUAGUAGCUAAGGCUUAUUAGUUUCACCUGGGAGAAAGUUCAAAAGCCAGAAAUAUUGGCCAUUGGCCUGGCUUUACUUACACCUUAUGCAAAAAUUAACUCAAGAUGGAUUAAAGGCUUAAAAGUAAAACCCAAAACCAUAAAAACUCUAGAAGAAAACCUAGGCAAUACCAUUCAGGACAUAGGCAUGGGCAAAGACUUCAUGACUAAAACACCAAAAGUAGGAAGGAUAAAGUUAAAAUGUAGAGUUUUUAUUAGUUUUCUCUUUGCUUGCUUGUUUUUAUAUAAUUGUUAACUUGUCAUCAGUUUAAAAUAAUAUAUUAUGUUAUUUGCAAGCCUUAUGGUAACCUCAAAUCAAAAAUUAAACAUACAACAUAUAACAAAAAGAAGCUAGACAUUAAAGAACAGCGGUAGGGAAAAUCACUUUCACCAAAAGGAAGACAGGAAGGAAAGAAGGAGGGAAGAGAAGACAACAAAACACCAGUAAACAAGAAAAUGAAAGGAGUAAAUCAUUACUGAUCAAUAAUAACACUGAAUAUAAGUGGAUUAAACUCUCCAGUGAAAAGAAAUAGAGUGGC